UACGGAGGGUGCGAGCGUUGUCCGGAAUCACUGGGCGUAAAGGGCGCGUAGGCGGCCUGAUAAGUAGGGGGUGAAAUCCUGCGGCUUAACCGCAGGGCUGCCUUCUAAACUGUCAGGCUAGAGCACGGUAGAGGCAGAUGGAAUUCCCGGUGUAGCGGUGGAAUGCGUAGAGAUCCGGAAGAACACCGGUGGCGAAGGCGGCCUGCUGGGCAGUUGCUGACACUGAGGCGCGACAGCGUGGGGAGCAAACAGG
rnacentral:rRNA from 1 species